CUGCCUUCCCUCUAGCCCAGUCACCCGUUUAACCAUCAUCAAGAACUCACUAGCCGCAACUAACCAAAACAUUUUAACUUCCACUUAGUAUAGGCGAUAGAAAAGAUCUACGGCGCAAUAGAGGCCAACCGUACCGUAAGGGAAAGCUGAAAUAACAGUGAAAAUAUAAGCAAAAAACAGUAAAGACUAACCCUUGUACCUUUUGCAUCAUGAUUUAGCAAGAACAAUCAAGCAAAGUGAACUAAAGUUUGCCCUCCCGAAACCCAAGCGAGCUACCUACAAGCAGCUAAAUUGAGCGAACCCGUCUCUGUUGCAAAAGAGUGGGAUGACUUGUCGGUAGAGGUGAAAAGCCAACCGAGCUGGGUGAUAGCUGGUUACCUGCUAAACGAAUCUAAGUUCUCCCUUAACUUAUCCCCUAAGGACAUCGAUACAACCCUGUAAGCGUCAGAGUUAAGAGCUAUUCGACGGAGGUACAGCCCCUUCGAAAAAGAAUACAACCUCCCCCAGCGGAUAAAUUUCUCCCCACCCCACCGUAGGCUUUAAAGCAGCCAUCGACAAAAGAGUGCGUCAAAGCUCGCCUAUUAAAAAUUCAAGAAUCCCCUUGACUCCCUCACCUCAAGCAGGUCAAUCUAUGCAAAUAGAAGAAUCAAUGCUAAAAUAAGUAACUCGGAAACUUCCCCGCACAGCGCAAACUUACAUUGACGUAUUAUUAACAGACCUAACUUAUACUCCAAUUACAACAAGAACCCGUAUUUAAUCCUACCUGUUACACCGACUCAGGAGCGCUAACACAAGAGAUUAAAAUCUGCAAAAGGAACUCGGCAAACCAAAGACCCGACUGUUUACCAAAAACAUAGCCUCCGGCAAACAAGCAAGUAUCGGAGGUGAUGCCUGCCCAGUGACCCACAAAGUUUAACGGCCGCGGUAUCCUAACCGUGCAAAGGUAGCGCAAUCAAUUGUCCCAUAAAUCGAGACUUGUAUGAACGGCUAAACGAGGUCUUUACUGUCUCUUGCAGAUAAUCAGUGAAAUUAGUAUUCCCGUGCAAAAACGAGAAUGUGACCAUAAGACGAGAAGACCCUGUGGAACUUAAAAAUAACGGCCACCCCCUCACCAACACCACCCAUCGGGUUCACCCGUGUAACACUUGGCCGACAUUUUUCGGUUGGGGCGACCUUGGAGAAAAACUAAUCCUCCAAACCAAUAGACCACCACUCUUCACCAAGACCAACCCAUCAAAGUGCUAAUAGUAACCUAGACCCAAUAUAAUUGAUUGAUGGACCAAGCUACCCCAGGGAUAACAGCGCAAUCCCCUCCAAGAGCCCAUAUCGACAAGGGGGUUUACGACCUCGAUGUUGGAUCAGGACAACCUAAUGGUGCAGCCGCUAUUAAGGGUUCGUUUGUUCAACGAUUAAUAGUCCUACGUGAUCUGAGUUCAGACCGGAGCAAUCCAGGUCGGUUUCUAUCUAUGGACUGACUCCUCCUAGUACGAAAGGACCGGAGUAGUGGGGUCAAUACUCCCAGCACACCCCAGCCUUAUAAGCAAUGAACUCAACUUAAUUGCCAAAAAGCCUCCACACACCCUCCCCCUCCUAGAAAAGGAUACAG
rnacentral:rRNA from 1 species